UUGGCCGGCGUCCGCAGGCUGCGACUUCUGCAACACACACACACAGACCGCCAUGUUUAAGCCACGAGACCAGAGCAGGUUUAACGCCACGAAAACAGAGACAAAGACAUUUGGCUGAAAGCUGCGUGUCACACUGAUGUUGCAUCAAAGCUGAACAGUAAAGGACAGGACUCGGGACAACCGCUCAUAAAUCAGGACUGUCUCGAAUUUUUUGUCUGGUCAACCUACCUCUGUGUGACGGAAGCCGGCGAGGCUGUGCAGUGAGUAAACCUCACUCCCCGACACCUAAAGAGAAACGCCAGGGCCCAUGGGUUUUAGCCUCCUCGAAAGUGUGUCCGCCUGCCGUAGCCGAGGUCGCCGGUUGGAGUCAGGACCGUGCAGUACGUUCUCAGGAACAGCCGGUUACAUCUACAUGACGUUGGCUGUGAUGCAGUUUUAUCUGACUACUGGAAACAUGUGACUUUUCAGACCCGGAGUUUCCAGCUUGGUUUUUAAACUGAGUGUGCCGUCCAUUUUAUCUCUUGUUAUAAGACUGAAACAACUAACAUAAUCUGUAUCUUUAUUAAAUAACACCUUACUCUAUGGAAUAAAUGCACAUGUGUUUUUGCCAAAUUGAUGAAAAUAAAAUGUUUGGAAAAUAUGCUAUGCUUGCCUAAAAAUAGAAAGAUGAAGCAUUUAACACUUUCAACGCACUUAUGCACUCUCAGUGAACUUAUAGGACAGGAACUGGUGCCUGGAGGCAGACAGGAAACGCCUACAGGGAAGGACAUGGCGUAAGAUAAAUAACAGUUCCUGUCUAUUCUUAAGUGACAUGUGAUAUAGAUAAAGAUUCAGCUACUUUUUAUGUCAUGAAAAAACAAUGGGUGUGACUUUUUAAAAGAAGACUCUCAAGCCUUUCUCGUCAG